rnacentral:tRNA from 1 species
GAGGAUAUAGCUCAGUGGUAGAGCAGUUGCCAAGCAGGCAUGAGGCCCUUGGUUCAAUCCCUAGUAUCACCA